rnacentral:lncRNA from 1 species
UUGAUUGCAAUUACCAGCCAUUGCUUGGAACAAUCUGAGAUGGGGGUCAAUUGGUAGGCCAAGAGUCUCAUAAGCAGGGUCAUAGAGAGAGUUGCUGAAACUCACAAAAACAUGACUGUUAAAAUCACAACAGAUAUUGUGAAAAAAGAUAUAAGAACUAUGAGGAUUGGAGAACCAAACCUAAUAAAUUCCCUAUUGUUUCCAGAGUUAAUGGUCAGAUCCACAACCCUUGGAUUUUCAGGUGCAUUGUUUGGUCCCUGGAGUGCAGGGCCUACAUUAGGUCCUUAAUUUCGUGGUGGUGAAUUCGUCUGCUACAAUAGAAAAACAAAACAAGCAUAAGAACCUCAAAAU